UAUCUUCAGGGUUAGGUGCGAUUCCUGACCGGCAGUAAAGCCUGCGAGCCGCAAUGCGGCUGAUCCGGUGUGAUCCCGGAGCCGACGGUAAAAGUCCGGAUGAAAGAAGAUG
rnacentral:ncRNA from 1 species